AACGAACGCUGGCGGCAUGCCUAACACAUGCAAGUCGAGCGAAACCUUCGGGUCUAGUUGCGCACGGGUGCGUAACCCGGUGGAACCUGCCCUUAGGUUCGGAAUGACUCCCCGAAUGGGGUGCUAAUACCGGAUCAUGUCUUCGGACCAAAGAUUUAUCGCCUUUGGAUGGGCCUGCGUUGGAUUAGCUAGUUGGUAGGCUAAAAGCCUACCAAGUCGAGGAUCCAUAGCUGGUCUGAGAGGAUGAUCAGCGACACUGGUACUAAGACACGGCCCAGACUAUUACGGGAGGCAGCAGUGGGGAAUCUUGGAAAAUGGGCGAAAGGCUGAAGCAGCAAUGACGCGUGAGUGAUGAAGGUUUUAGGGUUGUAAAGUUCUUUUAGCCGGGAUGAUAAUGACGGUACCGGCAGAAUAAGCACCGGCUAACUCCGUG
rnacentral:rRNA from 1 species